rnacentral:lncRNA from 10 species
AGAGGCGUGACUGAAAGUCUCGCUGCGACCUGAGCUGCUGAAUCAGCUUUCUGUUUACUGUGGGCAAUGGCUGUGUUUUCUUUUUGAUGUCCUUUGCAGUGGAUCACAGCUACCUGCUGAGGCAGACAAGGGGAGUGGUUCCUGUGAUGGGAUCAGUCAGAUGCCUGCCUGGCCGCUCCCCCUGAGGGGACUUGGGCUCCUCUUAGCAUUGGCAGGCCGGUAUAAACUUCCGGCUCAGAUCGAGCUAUGCCUGAUGCUGCCUUAAGCCUUAUGAGGUCGCCAAGGAACCGCA